rnacentral:lncRNA from 1 species
GGGUAAGUGUUGGACACAUUACAAGCGAAAAUAAUCAUGAUUUUGCUGCACGCUCCGAUCAAAUUAAGGCCGGCCUAAUACAAUCCAUGCCAGGUAAUCAACUGAAAUUGCCUUGACCUCCGCCCUGGAAAUUUGAGGAUCUAUAAGCGGAAAAAGUAAAGCUGAAACGGGAAAUGGCUAUCUAGAUUCUUCACUUCGGGUAGUUCCUAGUUGUGCUUGUUAUGCCACCCCUGUCUAUGAUGCCUCGAC